AUUUUGUAAGGUUAAUUAUUGUAAAACUCUUUUAUAAUUGAUUAUUAUGAAGUAAAUUAUGAAUAAGCCCUGGCUAACAUUCGUGCCAGCAGUCGCGGUAAUACGGAGGGGGCAAGUGUUACUCAGCAUUAUUGGGCGUAAAGGUACGUAGGUGGUUUAUUAUUUUAAAAUAGAAAUGUUGAAAACUCAAUUUUAAUACUUAUUUUAAAAAUUUAAACUAGAGCACAGAACAGGUUUAUGGUAUUUUUAGUGUAUAGGUGAUAUUUGUUGAUAUUAAGAAGACCCGCAAAGGCGAAGGCUAUAUACUAGUUCUAUGCUGACACUCAGGUACGAAAGCAUAGGGAGCGAAAAGGAUUAGAUACCCAAUUAGUCUAUGCCGUCAACGAUGAACAUUAAUUUUUGUUUUUUAUUAAGCAGUUAUUAAAGCUAACGCGUUAAAUGUUCCGCCUGGAGAGUACGAUCGC
rnacentral:rRNA from 1 species